ACAGCAGCAGCCACGGUAAUGCGGAGGGGGCUAGCGUUGUUCGGAAUUACUGGGCGUAAAGCGCACGUAGGCGGCUUGGUAAGUUAGAGGUGAAAGCCUGGAGCUCAACUCCAGAAUUGCCUUUAAGACUGCCGAGCUAGCAGGUGAGAGAGGUAAGUGGAAUUCCGAGUGUAGAGGUGAAAUUCGUAGAUAUUCGGAAGAACACCAGUGGCGAAGGCGGCUUACUGGCUCAUACUGGACGCUGAGGUGCGAAAGCGUGGGGAGCAAACAGGAUUAGAGACCCCUGUAGUCCCUGUCUCUUAUAA
rnacentral:rRNA from 1 species